UGGGGAAUUUUGCACAAUGGGGGAAACCCUGAUGCAGCGACGCCGCGUGAUGUAGAAGGCCUUCGGGGUGUAAAAAUCUUUUGUAUGGGAAGAAAAUGACAGUACCAUACGAAUAAGGACCGGCUAAUUACGUGCCAGCAGCCGCGGUAAUACGUAAGGUCCGAGCGUUGUCCGGAAUUAUUGGGCGUAAAGGGUACGUAGGCGGAUAAGCAAGUUAGAAGUGAAAUCCUAUAGCUCAACUAUAGUAAGCUUUUAAAACUGCUCAUAUUGAGGAAUGGAAGGGAAAGUGGAAUUCCUAGUGUAGCGGUGAAAUACGCAGAUAUGAGGGGGAAUACCGGUGGCGAAGGCGGCUUUCUGGCCAUAUACUGACGCUGAGGUACGAAAGCGGGGGUAGCAAACAGG
rnacentral:rRNA from 1 species